rnacentral:rRNA from 1 species
UGGGGAAUAUUGCACAAUGGGGGAAACCCUGAUGCAGCGACGCCGCGUGAACGAAGAAGGUAUUCGUAUCGUAAAGUUCUGUCCUAUGGGAAGAUAAUGACAGUACCAUAGAAGAAAGCUCCGGCUAAAUACGUGCCAGCAGCCGCGGUAAUACGUAUGGAGCGAGCGUUGUCCGGAAUUAUUGGGCGUAAAGGGUACGCAGGCGGUUUAAUAAGUCGAAUGUUAAAGAUCGGGGCUCAACCCCGCAAAGCAUUGGAAACUGAUAAACUUGAGUAGUGGAGAGGAAAGUGGAAUUCCUAGUGUAGUGGUGAAAUACGUAGAUAUUAGGAGGAAUACCAGUAGCGAAGGCGACUUUCUGGACACAAACUGACGCUGAGGUACGAAAGCGUGGGGAGCAAACAGA